ACAGCAGUCGCCACGGGAAUACGGAGGGUGCAAGCGUUAAUCGGAAUUACUGGGCGUAAAGCGCACGCAGGCGGUCUGACAAGUCAGAUGUGAAAUCCCCGGGCUUAACCUGGGAACUGCAUUUGAAACUGUCAGGCUGGAGUCUUGUAGAGGGGGGUGGAAUUCCAGGUGUAGCGGUGAAAUGCGUAGAGAUCUGGAGGAAUACCGGUGGCGAAGGCGGCCCCCUGGACAAAGACUGACGCUCAGGUGCGAAAGCGUGGGGAGCAAACAGGAUUAGAUACCCCGGUAGUCCCUGUCUCUUAUAC
rnacentral:rRNA from 1 species